rnacentral:rRNA from 1 species
CCUGGCUCACGAUGAACGCUAGCUACAGGCUUAACACAUGCAAGUCGAGGGGCAGCAUGGUCUUAGCUUGCUAAGGCCGAUGGCGACCGGCGCACGGGUGAGUAACACGUAUCCAACCUGCCGUCUACUCUUGGACAGCCUUCUGAAAGGAAGAUUAAUACAAGAUGGCAUCAUGAGUCCGCAUGUUCACAUGAUUAAAGGUAUUCCGGUAGACGAUGGGGAUGCGUUCCAUUAGAUAGUAGGCGGGGUAACGGCCCACCUAGUCUUCGAUGGAUAGGGGUUCUGAGAGGAAGGUCCCCCACAUUGGAACUGAGACACGGUCCAAACUCCUACGGGAGGCAGCAGUGAGGAAUAUUGGUCAAUGGGCGAGAGCCUGAACCAGCCAAGUAGCGUGAAGGAUGACUGCCCUAUGGGUUGUAAACUUCUUUUAUAAAGGAAUACAGUCGGGUAUGGAUACCCGUUUGCAUGUACUUUAUGAAUAAGGAUCGGCUAACUCCGUGCCAGCAGCCGCGGUAAUACGGAGGAUCCGAGCGUUAUCCGGAUUUAUUGGGUUUAAAGGGAGCGUAGAUGGAUGUUAAGUCAGUUGUGAAACUUUGCGGCUCAACCGUAAAAUUGCAGUGAUACUGCUGAUCUUGACUGCAGUUUAGGCAGGCCGAAUUCGUGUUGUAGCGGUGAAAUGCUUAGAUAUCACGAAGAACUCCGAUUGCGAAGGCAGCCUGCUAAGCUGCAACUGACAUUGAGGCUCGAAAGUGUGGGUAUCAAACAGGAUUAGAUACCCUGGUAGUCCACACGGUAAACGAUGAAUACUCGCUGUUUGCGAUAUACUGCAAGCGGCCAAGCGAAAGCGUUAAGUAUUCCACCUGGGGAGUACGCCGGCAACGGUGAAACUCAAAGGAAUUGACGGGGGCCCGCACAAGCGGAGGAACAUGUGGUUUAAUUCGAUGAUACGCGAGGAACCUUACCCGGGCUUAAAUUGCAGAUGAAUUACGGUGAAAGCCGUAAGCCGCAAGGCAUCUGUGAAGGUGCUGCAUGGUUGUCGUCAGCUCGUGCCGUGAGGUGUCGGCUUAAGUGCCAUAACGAGCGCAACCCUUGUUGUCAGUUACUAACAGGUUCCGCUGAGGACUCUGACAAGACUGCCAUCGUAAGAUGUGAGGAAGGUGGGGAUGACGUCAAAUCAGCACGGCCCUUACGUCCGGGGCUACACACGUGUUACAAUGGGGGGUACAGAGGGCCGCUACCACGCGAGUGGAUGCCAAUCCCCAAAACCUCUCUCAGUUCGGACUGGAGUCUGCAACCCGACUCCACGAAGCUGGAUUCGCUAGUAAUCGCGCAUCAGCCACGGCGCGGUGAAUACGUUCCCGGGCCUUGUACACACCGCC